GGCUAACGCUGGCGGCGUGUCUUAGCCAUGCAAGUCGAGCGGACUUAUGGGGUAACUUAUAAGUCAGCGGCGGACGGCGGAGUAACACGUAGCUAACCUACCCUCUGGACGGGGAUAACCUACCGAAAGGUGGGCUAAUACCCGAUGUAGUCAUCCUGUAUAGGGGUGAUGAAAGGUGGGCUUCUGUUUACAAGCUCAUGCUGGAGGAGGGGGCUGCGGCCUAUCAGGUAGUUGGUAGGGUAAUAGCCUACCAAGCCGAUGACGGGUAGCCGGCCUGAGAGGGUGACCGGCCCGAGGGGCACUGAGAUACGGGUCCCACUCCUACGGGAGGCAGCAGGCUAGAAAUUUGGGCAAUGGGGGAAACCCUGACCCAGUGACGCCGCGUGCAGGAAGGAGCCCUUCGGGGUGUAAACUGCUGUCGUGUAGGGAGAAGGGUACUAAGGUGACAAUCUUAGUACUUGACGGUACUACAGGAGGAAGCCCAGGCUAACCUCGUGCCAGCAGCCGCGGUAAAGUCACGUCG
rnacentral:rRNA from 1 species